rnacentral:lncRNA from 10 species
GAACCCACCAGUCCUGGGUAGAGCUGACUUGAUCCUCAAAUGCUAAACAUAUGAUUGCGGCAGUAUAAACUGACACAGGAGUUAAGCUUGGGUGCGUUCCGAUUCUAGCCUGGAGUUGCUGCUCCACCCCUUGGACCACCAGACUAGAGCCUCAACCAGGGGUGAUUUUGCUGCCAGGUGACAUCAGGCAACAUCUGGAGACAUUUUUGGUUGUUACACUGAGGAGGGGGGAGAUGAGGAAACAGCAUAAAUUGUUUAGAGGCUAGGGAUGCUGCGAAACAUCCUACAAUGCACAAGACUACUCCCCACGAUAAAGAAUUAUCCAACCCAAAUUGUCAACGUGCCAAGGUUAAGAAACCCU